rnacentral:rRNA from 1 species
UCGAACUUACUCUCAGACACGGAUAUCUCGGUUCUUGCAUCGAUAAACUACGUAUCGAAAUGCGUAUCACUUGGCGUGAACUGCAGAAUAACCGUGAACCAUCGAGUCUUUGAACGCAAGUUGCGCCCGAAGCCAUUAGGCCGAGGGCACGCCUGCCUGGGUGUCACAC